UUACGGCCAGAUCACGUUGAAACACAUGUUCCCGUACGAUCAGCAAAGUUAAGCCAAGUUGAGCCUGCUCAGUAACUAGAUGAGUGACCGCUUGGAAAUACCAGGUGCUGUAA